AGUCCCGCAACGAGCGCAACCCUUAUCCUUUGUUGCCAGCGAUUAGGUCGGGAACUCAAAGGAGACUGCCAGUGAUAAACUGGAGGAAGGUGGGGAUGACGUCAAGUCAUCAUGGCCCUUACGACCAGGGCUACACACGUGCUACAAUGGCGCAUACAAAGAGAAGCGACCUCGCGAGAGCAAGCGGACCUCAUAAAGUGCGUCGUAGUCCGGAUUGGAGUCUGCAACUCGACUCCAUGAAGUCGGAAUCGCUAGUAAUCGUGGAUCAGAAUGCCACGGUGAAUACGUUCCCGGGCCUUGUACACACCGCCCGUCACACCAUGGGAGUGGGUUGCAAAAGAAGUAGGUAGCUUAACCUUCGGGAGGGCGCUUACCACUUUGUGAUUCAUGACUGGGGUGAAGUCGUAACAAGGUAACCGUAGGGGAACCUGCGGUUGGA
rnacentral:rRNA from 2 species